UACGUAGGCAGCAAGCGUUGUUCGGAGUUACUGGGCGUAAAGGGUGCGUAGGCGGCUUUUUAAGUCUGGUGUGAAAUCUCCCGGCUCAACUGGGAGGGUGCGCCGGAUACUGAGGGGCUAGAGUGUGGGGAGAGGAAAGUGGAAUUCCUGGUGUAGCGGUGAAAUGCGUAGAUAUCAAGUGGAACACCAGUGGCGAAGGCGAGUCCCUGGACAACUCCUGACACUGAGGCACGAAAGCUAGGGGAGCAAACAGG
rnacentral:rRNA from 1 species